rnacentral:lncRNA from 1 species
GGGAGGAAAAGAGGCGGGAGAGAGACCCUAAAAAGCAAGCUAGACUCUCCAGCCGGCCGCUCUGGUGUGGGGAGGGAGCGUCAUCUCAAGGACACUGAAAAAGCUGUUUGCCGUUUUGCUGUUUGCCUCCUUGUCACGACCUCAGCGACGGCAGAUGGAGCCAGUGGAGGGAGAGAGACAGACGGCAAUGCUUGGGUAGCCAGGGCUCCCUGCCGGCCCCACUCCUCCUGCAGACACGAGCACGCACACACACACGCGCGCAAAACACACACGCUGCCCUUCGCCACACGUAGCCAAGUAAAAUACACAAAAAGCAACUGAGAUACCAUUCGCACAUGACCACAUGGAAACACACAAAUGAACAAACGCAUUCAGGCAUAGCCACAUGCCAGUCACACAGAUGGAUAGACAAGAGCCUGGGGUACAAAGCCACAUGGCACAAAGCCACCUGGAUGUAUAUGCCCCUACACACGCACACAGAAAAAAACAUGCAAACUUAAGUACACACCUAUCCAGACAAGUGUGAGUGCACACACACACACACUCACACACUCUACCUGACACGUUAGUGCAUCCCCAUUGGGCCCCAGUUUCUCUCAGCAAAUUCAGAUCACCCAGCCUGACUUCAAAACCUGCCCCCUUCCAUUCCCCUUCAUGCUGGUUCCUGAAUCCAGCUCGUUGCUCCAGGCUAGCAAAGCUGUCCACAGCCUCAUUUGUGGUUUGCUCACCUGCCUCAGCACCAUCAGCCAGAGGUACUCCUGCUCUUCUCCUA